AAGGUUAAAGGUCAGGCAGGGGUCACCCAGACAGGAGUCUCCAGGUGUGGCCCCGCCCCCAUCCAGGUGUGUCCCAGGUGUGUCCCCAAUGCCCCAGGUGUGUUUGGGUGUGUCCCAGGUGUGUCACACUCACCUUGCAGGUGUCCCCGCCCCCACCCAGGUGUGUCCCCAAUGUCCCCAGGUGUCACCCAGGUGUGUUCAGGUGUGUCCCCGAUGUCCCCAGGUGUGCACAGGUGUCACUUAGGUAUCUCAGGUGUGUCCCAGGUGUGUCCCCAAUGUCCCCAGGUGUGCACAGGUGUGUCCCCAAUGUCCCCAGGUGUGUUUGGGUGUGUCUCAGGUGUGUUUGGGUGUGUCCCACACUC
rnacentral:lncRNA from 1 species